GACGAACGCUGGCGGCGUGCUUAACACAUGCAAGUCGAACGGGAAGGGUCUGCCUUUGUGCUGUGCUGGAGUGGCGAACGGGGGAGUAACACGUGAGUAACCUGCCCUUGUCUUUGGGGUAACUUCCGGAAACUGGGGCGAAUAACGCAUAGGAGCUCCUGCUGCAUGGUGGGGGUGGGAGAGUAACGGCGGUUGGUGAGGGAUUCGCGGCCUAUGAGCUUGUUGGUUGGGUGGUGGCUUACCAAGGCUUUGACGGGUAGCCGGCCUGAGAGGGUGACCGGCCACAUUGGGACUGAGAUACCGGCAGGACGCAUACGGGAGUAAGCAGUGGGGGAUGUUGCCCAAAGGGCGGAAGGCUGAUGCAGCAACGCCGCGUGCGGGAUGACGGCCGUCGGGUUGUAAAGCGCUUGCGACUGUGACGAAGCGUGAGUGACGGUAACGGGUCAAGAAGCGCCGGCUAACUACGUG
rnacentral:rRNA from 1 species